AAUAUUGCGCAAUGGACGAAAGUCUGACGCAGCAACGCCGCGUGGGUGAUGAAGGUCUUCGGAUUGUAAAGCCCUGUCUUCGAGGACGAUAAUGACGGUACUCGAGGAGGAAGCCACGGCUAACUACGUGCCAGCAGCCGCGGUAAUACGUAGGUGGCAAGCGUUGUCCGGAUUUACUGGGCGUAAAGAGUGUGUAGGCGGAUGAUUAAGUCAGAUGUGAAAUACCGGGGCUCAACCCCGGAACUGCAUUUGAUACUGGUCAUCUAGAGUGCAGGAGAGGAGAGUGGAAUUCCUAGUGUAGCGGUGAAAUGCGUAGAGAUUAGGAAGAACACCAGUGGCGAAGGCGACUCUCUGAACUGUAACUGACGCUGAGACACGAAAGCGUGGGGAGCGAACAGGAUUAGAUACCCUGGUAGUCCACGCCGUA
rnacentral:rRNA from 1 species